rnacentral:rRNA from 1 species
GAAGUUUUCAGAGAUGAGAAUGUGCCUUCGGGAACCGUGAGACAGGUGCUGCAUGGCUGUCGUCAGCUCGUGUUGUGAAAUGUUGGGUUAAGUCCCGCAACGAGCGCAACCCUUAUCCUUUGUUGCCAGCGGUCCGGCCGGGAACUCAAAGGAGACUGCCAGUGAUAAACUGGAGGAAGGUGGGGAUGACGUCAAGUCAUCAUGGCCCUUACGACCAGGGCUACACACGUGCUACAAUGGCGCAUACAAAGAGAAGCGACCUCGCGAGAGCAAGCGGACCUCAUAAAGUGCGUCGUAGUCCGGAUUGGAGUCUGCAACUCGACUCCAUGAAGUCGGAAUCGCUAGUAAUCGUGGAUCAGAAUGCCACGGUGAAUACGUUCCCGGGCCUUGUACACACCGCCCGUCACACCAUGGGAGUGGGUUGCAAAAGAAGUAGGUAGCUUAACCUUCGGGAGGGCGCUUACCACUUUGUGAUCCAUGACUGGGGUGAAGUCGUAACAAGGUAACCGUAGGGGAACCUGCGGUUGGAUCACCUCCUUACCUUAAAGAAGC